GGGAACCCGGUGAACUGAAACAUCUAAGUAGCCGGAGGAAGAGAAAGAAACAUCGAUUCCCAAAGUAGCGGCGAGCGAAAUGGGAAGAGCCUAAACCGAAUCUCUACGGAGAGUCGGGGUUACGGACCUGCGGAAUCGAGAUUACUCAUAGUCGAAUAGCAUUGGAAAGUGCAGCCGGAGAGGGUAAAAGCCCCGUAGGCGAAAUGAGUAAUUGAGAGGCGGGUAUCCAGAGUACCACAGGACACGAGGAAUCCGGUGGGAAGUCGGGGGGACCACCCCCCAAGGCUAAAUACUACUUGGUGACCGAUAGCGUAUAGUACCGUGAGGGAAAGGUGAAAAGAACCCCGGGAGGGGAGUGAAAGAGAACCUGAAACCCUAUGUUUACAAGCAGAGGGAGCGAAAGCGACCUCGUACUUUUUGUAGAACGGGCCGGCGAGUUACUGUGUGCAGCGAGGUUAAGGCGUAGAGCGCCGGAGCCGAAGCGAGAGCGAGUCUGAAGAGGGCGAAAGUUGUGCGCAGUAGACCCGAAACCGGGUGACCUAUCCAUGGACAGGAUGAAGCGGUGGUAAAGCACCGUGGAGGUCCGAACCACACGUAUGUUGAAAAAUGCGGGGAUGAGCUGUGGAUAGCGGAGAAAUUCCAAUCGAACUCGGAGAUAGCUGGUUCUCCCCGAAAUAGCUUUAGGGCUAGCCUCGAUUUAGAUUACCGGGGGUAGAGCACUGAAUGGGCUAGGGGGCCACAAAGCUUACCGAACCCUAUCAAACUUCGAAUACCGGAUAAUUGAUGAACGGGAGUCAGACGGCGGGAGAUAAGUUUCGUCGUCAAAAGGGAAACAGCCCAGAUCUACGACUAAGGUCCCGAAAUCACAGUUAAGUGGAAAAGGAUGUGCAGUUGCACAGACAACCAGGAUGUUGGCUUAGAAGCAGCCACUCAUUUAAAGAGUGCGUAAUAGCUCACUGGUCGAGUGAUUGUGCGCCGAAAAUGUACCGGGGCUAAACUGUGUACCGAAGUCUAGGGAUCGUGAUAAACGAUCGGUAGGGGAGCAACGUGUGCGGGCUGAAGCCGAAGCGAAAGCGACGGUGGACUGCACGGGAGAGAGAAUGCCGGCAUGAGUAGCGAGAGCAAAGUGAGAAUCUUUGCCGUCGAAAGCCUAAGGUUUCCUGAGGAAGGCUCGUCCUCUCAGGGUAAGUCAGGACCUAAGCCGAGGACAAAAGUCGUAGGCGAUGGACAACUGGUUGAUAUUCCAGUACCACCUUUAGCGUUUGACUGAAGCAGUGACACAGAAGGAUAGACAGAGCGCGUGACUGGUAGAGCGCGUCCAAGCGAUGAGGGAGUUAAGUAGUGAAGCACGCUUAACAAUCCUGGGUCGUGAUGGGGACUGAAAAUAAGUAGGGAAGCUGUUGAAUUCACGCUGGCGAGAAAAGCUGCUAAGGAGCGAAAGGGUGCCUGUACCGCAAACCGACACAGGUAGGCGAGGAGAGAAUCCUAAGACGAGCGGGAGAACCCUUGUUAAGGAACUCGGCAAAAUGACUCCGUAACUUAGGGAGAAGGAGUGCCUCGAGAGAGGCCGCAGAGAAUAGGCCCAAGCGACUGUUUACCAAAAACACAGGUCUGUGCGAAGUAGAGAUACGACGUAUACGGGCUGACGCCUGCCCAGUGCCGGAAGGUUAAGGGGAAGUGUUAGGGCAACCGAAGCACGGAACUUAAGCCCCGGUGAACGGCGGCCGUAACUAUAACGGUCCUAAGGUAGCGAAAUUCCUUGUCGGGUAAGUUCCGACCCGCACGAAUGGCGUAACGACUUGGGCACUGUCUCAACAAGGGACCCGGCGAAAUUGUAGUAUGUGUGAAGAUGCACAUUACCCGCGAUAGGACGGAAAGACCCCGUAGAGCUUUACUGUAGUUUAACAUUGGAUUUUGAUAACACAUGUACAGGAUAGGUGGGAGGCUGAGAAACCGGCACGCCAGUGCCGAUGGAGCCGCUGUUGGGAUACCACUCUUGUGUUAUUGGAGUUCUAACGAAGUGCCGUAAACCGGGCUUCGGACAGUGUUAGAUGGGCAGUUUGACUGGGGCGGUCGCCUCCGAAAGAGUAACGGAGGCGUCCAAAGGUUCCCUCAGAAUGGUUGGAAACCAUUCACAGAGUGCAAAGGCAGAAGGGAGCUUGACUGCGAGACCGACAGGUCGAGCAGGUACGAAAGUAGGGCUUAGUGAUCCGGCGGUAUGAGAGUGGAAUUGCCGUCGCUCAACGGAUAAAAGCUACCUCGGGGAUAACAGGCUGAUCUCCCCCAAGAGU
rnacentral:rRNA from 1 species